rnacentral:rRNA from 1 species
AUUGAACGCUGGCGGCAGGCCUAACACAUGCAAGUCGAGCGGAUGAAGGGAGCUUGCUCCUGGAUUCAGCGGCGGACGGGUGUGUAAUGCCUAGGAAUCUGCCUGGUAGUGGGGGAUAACGUCCGGAAACGGGCGCUAAUACCGCAUACGUCCUGAGGGUGAAAGUGGGGGUUCUUCGGACCUUACGCUAUCAUAUGAGCCUAGGUCGGAUUAGCUAGUUGGUGGGGUAAAGGCCUACCAAGGCGACGAUCCGUAACUGGUCUGAGAGGAUGAUCAGUCACACUGGAACUGAGACACGGUCCAGACUCCUACGGGAGGCAGCAGUGGGGAAUAGUGGACAAUGGGCGAAAGCCUGAUACAGCCAUGCCGCGUGUGUGAAGAAGGUCUUCGGAUUGUAAAGCACUUUAAGUUGGGAGGAAGGGAAGUAAGUUAAUACCUUGCUGUUUUGACGUUACCAACAGAAUAAGCACCGGCUAACUUCGUG